rnacentral:lncRNA from 1 species
CCAGAGCAGUAUCCUGAGAAUCUUCGCUAUCAGUUGUUCAUGGAUGGAAAUAGUCACACAAUUAAUUUGGAGAAAAACAGCUGUACUGAUAUCAUGUAUAAUGUAUAUUGUAAUUUGUUUUAUGUAUCAUUAAUAAGGCUAAUAAGUAAAAAUGAAGAGCUUUCUGUUUUGCAGGAUCACUGUUAUUAUCACGGCCAUAUUGAGGGUAUGGAGGACUCGUCAGUUAGUGUUGGAAUCUGCUCUGGAAUGAGAGGUUUUGUUCGGGCUGAGCAGCAGUUGUACCUGAUUGAGCCCUUGAGUGACAGCACUGAGGGAGACCAUGCCCUCUAUAAGCAAGAAGAUCUGAGGAGGAAUAAGAGAGGGACAAAUAACACUGUUUACGACCAUGAACCCAGAUUGGCAGCCCUUUUCAAACGCAGUAGCAGGGUGUGUAUUUUGAUUUUUACUGCAUACAAAAACUUUGACUCAAACGCUGGUAGAGUUCGAGCGAGGAUGCUGGAAGUCAUGAAUCAUGUUGAUAAGCUGUAUCGUCCACAUAAUAUUCGGGUGAUGCUGGUGGGGUUGGAAGUGUGGACAGCAGGAGAUCAGUUUUUGGUCAGUGUGAGUUCUGAUGACACUCUUACCAGGUUUAUUGAGUGGCGCAAGGACAACCUGUUGAAAAGAGUCAAGCAUGAUAAUGCGCAGUUUGUGACUGGAAUAGACUUUUUGGGUGAAACUGUGGGACUAGCAAACAAGUAUGCUAUGUGUGCUGUAGGCUCUGGAGGCGUUAAUCAGGAUCAUAACUCAGAUCCUGUGGGCUUGGCCGCCACCAUUGCACACGAGAUGGGACACAACAUGGGCAUGUCCCAUGAUGGGUCACACUGCAGCUGUGGUCUGUUCAACCUUGACUGCAUCAUGACGGAACGCGUGGGAAACUUUCCGCAGGUCUUCAGUGACUGCAGCCUGGAUGAGCUGAGUGUGUUUCUGGAGAAUGCCAACCCGAGCUGCCUGCUGGAUCCCCCCCGCUCAGACAGGCUGUACCAGGGCUCUGUCUGCGGCAAUGCUUUCCUGGACCCUGGAGAGGAGUGUGACUGUGGAAGUGUGGAGGAGUGUGAGAACCCAUGCUGUAACCCCAGAACCUGCACAUUUACGGAGGGUUCUCAGUGUGCGGAGGGAGACUGCUGUGAGAACUGCCAGAUAAAACAGGCUGGCAGUGUGUGCAGGGCCUCAGCGAGUGACUGUGAUCUGGAGGAGUACUGCACUGGACUGUCAGAGAAGUGUCCUGAAGAUGACUUUAAAAUGAACGGUAUCCCCUGUGGCUUUGGUAGCAGUUACUGCUAUAAUGGCCAAUGCCCAACUCAUCUCCAGCACUGUCAGAGGCUGUGGGGAAAAGACGCUAAAGUGGCUUCAGACACUUGCUUCUUCAAGAACACCUUUGGGCAUAAUAUGCACUGUGGAAGUAUAUUUUGCGUUGGAGGAAAUACGCUCCCUGUCACCGGGCUGAAAGCUACUCUGCAGAUUAAAGAUAAGAUCUGUAACAUAGUCGGCGAGCGGUUCGAGGAAGAUGAACUGAGCAUGGUGCCGACGGGAACCAAAUGUGGGCAUAAUAAAGUGUGUUUUGCUAAUGUGUGCCAAGAUUUGAAAGUGUACGGUAUGAGAGACGACUGCUCGUCAAAGUGCAGCGGCCGCGGGGUUUGUGAUCACAGGAAACAGUGCCACUGUGAUUCUGGUUGGGCUCCACCGUACUGUGAUAUCAAAUACACUGACCUGCCUUCUGGUAAAUCCCUCAGCUUUACUCAUGAUCUCACAGAUGAGUCGCCUGCAGUUUUAACAGAGAGGCAUUCUAGUGCAGUUCUCCUGAUGAUUUUUUACAUUUCGUUUCACAGGAAAAGAGGCAAUCAUCGGCGUUUCAGCAGUGGUGGGAGUGCUGCUGCUGCUGCUGGCUGCAGGUUUUGGAGGUUGGAUUUAUCAUAAAAGGAAAACGAACACCAGAUCUAGUCAGAACAUUAAUGAAGAGCAGUUGAAUCCUGGUUAUAGAAAACGGCCUCAGAUCAGCCAACCUACUUUCAUCGAGUCAACUGCAACUCAGGCAUGCACCCCCCUUACAGUCCUAAUUGCCCCCACACAGGUAAAUGAUAGAUCCCGCCAUCUGUUUGACGGCAUUCCUGUUUGUCUAUUAAGAAUCAUUCAUUAG